rnacentral:rRNA from 1 species
GACGAACGCUGGCGGAGGGCGGAACACAUGCAAGUCGAACGGAAAGGCCCUUCGGGGUACUCGAGUGGCGAACGGGUGAGUAACACGUGGGUGAUCUGCCCUGCACUUUGGGAUAAGCCUGGGAAACUGGGUCUAAUACCGAAUAGGACCGCGCGCUUCAUGGUGUGUGGUGGAAAGCUUUUGCGGUGUGGGAUGGGCCCGCGGCCUAUCAGCUUGUUGGUGGGGUAAUGGCCUACCAAGGCGACGACGGGUAGCCGGCCUGAGAGGGUGACCGGCCACACUGGGACUGAGAUACGGCCCAGACUCCUACGGGAGGCAGCAGUGGGGAAUAUUGCACAAUGGGCGCAAGCCUGAUGCAGCGACGCCGCGUGAGGGAUGACGGCCUUCGGGUUGUAAACCUCUUUCACCAGGGACGAAGCGCAAGUGACGGUACCUGGAGAAGAAGCACCGGCAAACUACGUG